UAACCUGCUAAAUAGUUAGGCCAACGUUUGUUGGUCGACAACUUCUUAGAGGGACUAUUGACUAUUAGUCAAUGGAAGUUUGAGGCAAUAACAGGUCUGUGAUGCCCUUAGAUGUUCUGGGCCGCACGCGCGCUACACUGAUCAAGUCAGCGAGUUUACAACCUUGGCCGGAAGGUCUGGGUAAUCUUUUGAAACUUGAUCGUGCUGGGGAUAGUCCAUUGCAAUUAUUGGACUUCAACGAUGAAUUCCUAGUAAGCGUGAGUCAUCAGCUCACGUUGAUUACGUCCCUGCCCUUUGUACACGCCGCCCGUCGCU
rnacentral:rRNA from 1 species